rnacentral:lncRNA from 1 species
UCUAGAUAGGACUGCGCCUGUCCCGUGAUUUCUGCCCCCGCUAAGGACUUGUGCAAGCAAGCAUCCUGCUGCCAAAGGGAGACGGAAGGAUUUGUCACUUUUUCCAAGGUCGUGAGUGGAGUUACAGCAGGAGAAAAUGUUGCCAAAUGGGUACACUAAACAAUGAAUGGCUGCCGGGUUUAGUCAUACCUCUCUGUGUGUGCCAUCAAUUGCUGAUGGGAGCUAGGACAUUAUUCCAGCUACAAAAUGGGCGCAUGAUCCUGGAAACUGAUGCAUGGGCCUUGCAAGACACCUCUAUAGAAU